CGACCUCGAGCGUAGCUUGGUGUUGAGGAUUGCAGCAGCAUCCUUUAAAAGCAUUGGCGGCAGCGCAGCUCAAUCGCAACAAAAUGCGUGCAAAGCAGCCAACUGCCCGCCAAAACUUUUCCCGUCAGGGGACUUUUUACCA
rnacentral:misc_RNA from 1 species